GCCAGCAGCCAUGUCACCCUGCAACUUACAAUUGGCAGCCCACUGAAGCUAAGCAGGUGUGAGCCUGGUCAGUACCUGAAUGGCAGACCUCCUGGGAAAAACUAAGGUUGCUGCAGGAA
rnacentral:rRNA from 1 species